AUUGAACGCUGGCGGCAUGCUUUACACAUGCAAGUCGAACGGUAACAGGUUAAGCUGACGAGUGGCGAACGGGUGAGUAAUGCAUCGGAACGUGCCCGAUCGUGGGGGAUAACGCAGCGAAAGCUGCGCUAAUACCGCAUACGAUCUGAGGAUGAAAGCGGGGGACCGUAAGGCCUCGCGCGAUCGGAGCGGCCGAUGUCAGAUUAGGUAGUUGGUGGGGUAAAGGCCCAUCAAGCCGACGAUCUGUAGCUGGUCUGAGAGGACGACCAGCCACACGGGGACGGAGACACGGCCCAGACUCCUACGGGAGGCAGCAGUGGGGAAUUUUGGACAAUGGGCGAAAGCCUGAUCCAGCAAUGCCGCGUGCAGGAAGAAGGCCUUCGGGUUGUAAACUGCUUUUGUACGGAGCGAAAAGGUCCUUUCUAAUACAAGGGGCUCAUGACGGUACCGUAAGAAUAAGCACCGGCUAACUACGUGCCAGCCGCCGCCGUAA
rnacentral:rRNA from 1 species